GCUUAGCUGUAAACAUCACACCCACCAGAAGAGUAGAGGCCACAGCCCGAAACUCAAAAGACCUGGCGGUACCCCAUACCAACCUAGAGGAGCCUGUGCUAUAAUCGAUAACCCGCGAUCAACCUCACCACCCCUUGCAAUUUCCAGCCUGUAUACCGCCGUCGUCAGCCUAUCUCCCAAGAGGACGGAGCAAAACAACCCCACCCAUAAAAACGACAGGUCAAGGUGCAGCUUACGAGGUGGCACGCAUGGGCUACAAUGCCAAUAACACUGGCUAAACGGUAUCCAAACUGAAUCCUAAAUUUGGAUAAAAGAAGGAUUUAGUAGUAAGAUCACUAAGAACACUGAUCUGAAACCACGCUCUGGGGUACGC
rnacentral:rRNA from 1 species